rnacentral:rRNA from 1 species
GAAUAUUGCACAAUGGGGGAAACCCUGAUGCAGCGACGCCGCGUGAGCGAUGAUUGCCNUCGGGUNGNAAAGCUCUGUCCUAAGGNACGAAACGGCCGGUACCUUGGGAGGAAGCCCCGGCUAACUACGUUCCCGCUGCCGCGGUAAUACGUAGGGGGCGAGCGUUAUCCGGAAUUACUGGGCGUAAAGGGUGCGUAGGCGGCCUUUUAAGUCAGAUGUGAAAGGCUACGGCUUAACCGUAGUUAGCAUUUGAAACUAAAAGGCUUGAGUGCAGGAGAGAAGAGUGGAAUUCCUAGUGUAGCGGUGAAAUGCGUAGAUAUUAGGAGGAACACCAGUGGCGAAGGCGACUCUCUGGACUGCAACUGACGCUGAGGCACGAAAGCGUGGGGAGCGAAC